GCCCGGGUGGUGAAAUGGUAGACACAAGGGACUUAAAAUCCCUCGGACAUUAUGUCUGUGCCGGUUCAAGUCCGGCCCCGGGCACCA
rnacentral:tRNA from 2 species